rnacentral:rRNA from 1 species
CUUGGUCAUUUAGAGGAAGUAAAAGUCGUAACAAGGUUUCCGUAGGUGAACCUGCGGAAGGAUCAUUACCGAGCUAUGCCCGCAAGGGCAGACCUCCCACCCUUUGUUUACCCUCCGUUUUGUUGCUUUGGCGGGCCGUUCUCACGGCCGUCGGCUCCCCGCUGGUGUGUGCCCGCCGAAGAUCCUCUAACCCUAACCUGUUUCUGUGUUUGUCCGAGUCCUAUAAUAUUAAAACUUUUAACAAUGGAUCUCUUGGCUCUGGCAUCGAUGAAGAACGCAGCGAAAUGCGAUAUGUAAUGUGAAUUGCAGAAUUUAGUGAAUCAUCGAAUCUUUGAACGCACAUUGCGCCCCUUGGUAUUCCGAGGGGCAUGCCUGUCCGAGCGUCAUAUACACCAUUCAAGCUCUGCUUGGUAUUAGGCCGUGCCAGCGAUGGCAGGCCUUAAAUUUAGUGGCGGCACCGUUGGGUCCCGAGCGUAGUACUCACCUCGCUACGGGUCCUGGCAGCUGGCGACCAGCAACCCCAACUUCUUAAGGUUGACCUCGGAUCAGGUAGGAAUACCCGCUGAACUUAAGCAUAUCAAUAAGCGGAGGA